UUCAAAAAAAAAUAUGGCAUUAUUUGACUGUUGUUGCUGUGAUGGUGGUGCUUUAAAUAGAUUCAGCUUCUAUUUUUAUUAAAUUGAUUUUGCUGUCAAUGGGGGAUUUGUGAAAGUGUGAUGUAUGAUGAUGGUUUCAAAUUAUGAAAGUCUGAACCUUUUUUUCAAAUUAUGUGAUUGAAUGGAGCUACUAUGGCAUUGGAUGAUGAAUUCUGACAGAUUCUAACAGUUGUGCUUGAGGUGAUGGAUGAUUCAGAUUCCUCAAUCAAAGAGCUUGCUCUUUCAAUGCUUGUUGAAAUGCUUAAAAAUCAGAAAGAUGCCAUGAAAAGUUCAGUCGAAAUUGUUAUUGAAAAGCUGCUUAAUGUAACAAAGGAUAGAGUUCUUAAGGUAUCCAGCAUUAUGAUGUUCAUGUUUGUCUUCUUGUUAAUUCUUCUCCUAAUUUAAGCAAAUUUCGUCCUGUUUUCAAGUCUCAAAUGAAGCAGAGCACUGUCUUUGUCACUGGUAAUGCUAAUGGGACUGUCUUUGUCACUGGAAGCUCUGAUAAUCUUGCUAGGGUACAUAUCUCUUGAUACAUACAUCAUACAUGUCUGAAUAUAAAAAUAUCUCUUAUUUCCUCUAUCAUAUAUUUGAAUGCCAUAUUGUAUAGGCUUUAAUGGUCAUCAUAUGCUAACAAGACAGCCUCAAAACUAAAAUUUACUAUAGAAAUAACUUGUGAGGUGUUUGAUCGUUUUCCAUUUAUAAGAGUACCCAUGAGUGUUUAGCUUUGCAUAUUAAGUAGCUUCAAAGAAGUUUACAAUCAAGAUGUUUAAUGCUCACAGAGACAGAGGAAGAGAAAGAAAGAAAAGAACCCAUAGAAAAAAAAAAGAGGGGGGAAAGGGCUUUAGGUUUCCUUUAAUUAAACCAAUCAUGUAUUUAAUGAAAUGGAUUUUCAGCUUUACAAUUUGUUAUCUAACUUCAAGGUUUUACAGGUCUGGAAUGCUUGUAAACCAAGUGUGGAUGAUACUGAACAGCCAAAUCACGAGAUAGAUGUGUUAUCUGGCAUGAAAAUGAUGUAAACUAUGUGCAAUUUAGUGGAUGUGCAGUAGCAUCUCGGUUUUCCACAUCUCGGCCUGUGCGUCACUUGGCAUCAGUUGCAAGGCAAAGAUCAUAUCCAAGGGAGAUGGAAUAUUUGUUUAUGCUAGAGCAAGUAGCCUUUAG